rnacentral:lncRNA from 1 species
UGAAAUAAAACCACAGACCGAAGUCCGGGCAUACACACGUAACACGACUCUCAACGUGAAGAAUGGUGUGUGCAAAGAUGAAGAGAAAGGCUUUAAAGUGUGUAAGAAGACUUAUAGUGGGCUGCCAAAGAAGACUUCUAUAACUUUAAGUGGAUGAACACUCGGCUCCCGCCGGUACAAAUAGUAGCUAUAUGUGAGCUCACAAGUAUUUAAAAUGAGAAAACAUUCAGUUUAGGGUGUGUACAGAGCGAAUUUGACAAGGCUUCCUCGCCUUUUCCUCUUAUAAAAUGGUCACUCCGAGCCUCUAUUUAUAGAGGGGGGAGCCGCAUGUGUACCUGCGGCUUCUCGGGAUGCCCCAGGCUCCGCGGGUCUCGUCAUCUUGAAGUACGUGCACUCGUGCAUUGUGAUGUCCGCUCGAACUUUCACAAUUGCAAUCCGGGCAUCCGAAUGAGGUAUGUAAGACCUAUUUCGGACACCCGUUGUCGAGAGUUACGCAAUGACAUGUGAUUAGAAGUUGUACAAAGUCAGGAAGAUGGGACCAUGCCCUUCGGUCUUCAAGCUUCAAAUUCUAUCUGUUGCCCUGCAUAAUAGUCACUCGGGAUUAGACCUCCUUGGUUCUUGUGGGACAUUGUUGUGUAGAAAUGUAUGUAUGAAAUGUUAAGACUACGCGAUGUGGGGUCAAGGUGGCAAGAUGACGACUUUGCCCCUCGCCGGGGUUAUCUCCGGUUUGGGCUGAUAAAGUAGACGUUGCUCAGGGUAAUCUCUGAGAUUGGACUACUGCAAGUGUUGAAGGUCCUCAGUGUCAUCUCUGAGGUGUGUCUGUCUUCCCGAUGUUAUCUCCGGGUCUUGUACUCAGUGCCUCGGUGUGAGUGCUGAGGUUGAAGCUGAUUGCAUUCAUUUGAAAUAAGCAUUUCUGGGGUUAUCUCCAGAACUGCAACUGCACUCCUUAGGGUUAUCUCCAAGGUUGGAAUUUCUACUACCAGUGUUAUUUUUGGGACUGAGACUGAAUAUCUCGGGGUUAUCUCUGAGAUGAAUCGACCUUCUCCAGUGGAAUUUUCAGUAUUUGAACUGCAUGCCUCGGGGUUAUCUCCGAGAUUGGAACUGAUAUUCCCGGUGUGUGUUCUGGGGUUGAGACUGAACUUUCGGUAGUAUCCAGACUAGAUAUGAGCUAUCUUCCAGGGUUAUCUCUGAAAGACGAAUCUUCCCACCUGCAAUGUCAGUGACAUGUGUGCAAAAAAUUUUGAGUGUCUACAGAUGCCCCUCUUUAUCAUAUUCACACAAUGCAAUGACAUGGAUAUGAUAAAGAAUACUAGACACUUAAAAUGUAACACGAUAAACAUGAUGCCAUAUGCAGCAACAUGAUGCAAAUGUAUGAUGCAUGUGGAUUGUUGGAUUGCUCUCCAAUAUGGUGGGAUGAUUGCUGACUCCCUGUUGCUUCUGCCUGGGAUUGGCAACAAUGACAAGCUUGGACGUGUGAUCCAAAUCUGUUAGGAUGUUGACUUUGGGGCUAUCACCAAAGUCCUUAAUCCUCGAUACAGACUUUAUUUCGAAGAUGUGCCUCUCGUGUACAAGAGAUCUGUGGGGAUAAAGCUUUGUCUGUUUGAGGAUGUGUAUAACAUAUUCCAUCAUCGAUCCUCCCCGAUGAUGUUGAUCCUUCCUGGUUUGUAUCGUCAGGACAUAUCAAUGUUCUGUUGGAUUUACUGCCAACAUUAUGUGUUGUCAGGGCUGCCCGACCUUCACUAACAUGUACAUCACCGGAUAAAACCCCUGUUGGGCAGACUGUCAAGGCUGCUUGAACUUCGCUGACGUGUGAAUCAACGGAUAAACACGCGUUGUAACCCCAGUCGGGGACCGGCUUGAUCCUCGCUGAC